GGAGCUUGCUCCUGAAUUCAGCGGCGGACGGGUGAGUAAUGCCUAGGAAUCUGCCUGGUAGUGGGGGACAACGUUUCGAAAGGAACGCUAAUACCGCAUACGUCCUACGGGAGAAAGUGGGGGAUCUUCGGACCUCACGCUAUCAGAUGAGCCUAGGUCGGAUUAGCUAGUUGGUGAGGUAAUGGCUCACCAAGGCGACGAUCCGUAACUGGUCUGAGAGGAUGAUCAGUCACACUGGAACUGAGACACGGUCCAGACUCCUACGGGAGGCAGCAGUGGGGAAUAUUGGACAAUGGGCGAAAGCCUGAUCCAGCCAUGCCGCGUGUGUGAAGAAGGUCUUCGGAUUGUAAAGCACUUUAAGUUGGGAGGAAGGGUUGUAGAUUAAUACUCUGCAAUUUUGACGUUACCGACAGAAUAAGCACCGGCUAACUCUGUGCCAGCAGCCGCGGUAAUACAGAGGGUGCAAGCGUUAAUCGGAAUUACUGGGCGUAAAGCGCGCGUAGGUGGUUUGUUAAGUUGGAUGUGAAAUCCCCGGGCUCAACCUGGGAACUGCAUCCAAAACUGGCAAGCUAGAGUAGGGCAGAGGGUGGUGGAAUUUCCUGUGUAGCGGUGAAAUGCGUAGAUAUAGGAAGGAACACCAGUGGCGAAGGCGACCACCUGGGCUCAUACUGACACUGAGGUGCGAAAGCGUGGGGAGCAAACAGGAUUAGAUACCCUGGUAGUCCACGCCGUAAACGAUGUCAACUAGCCGUUGGGAGUCUUGAACUCUUAGUGGCGCAGCUAACGCAUUAAGUUGACCGCCUGGGGAGUACGGCCGCAAGGUUAAAACUCAAAUGAAUUGACGGGGGCCC
rnacentral:rRNA from 1 species